rnacentral:miRNA from 1 species
GCGAUUGUGUCUGGACAUCUCA